rnacentral:rRNA from 1 species
GGUAGUCGAGGAGAGUAUCCUAAGGUGAGCGAGUGAACUCUUGUUAAGGAACUCGGCAAAAUGACCCCGUAACUUCGGGAGAAGGGGUGCUGCACGCAAGUGCAGCCGCAGUGAAGAGGCCCAGGCGACUGUUUAUCAAAAACACAGGUUUCUGCAAAAUCGUAAGAUGACGUAUAGGGGCUGACGCCUGCCCGGUGCUGGAAGGUUAAGUGGAUGAGUUAGCUUCGGCGAAGCCCAGAAAUGAAGCCCCAGUAAACGGCGGCCGUAACUAUAACGGUCCUAAGGUAGCGAAAUUCCUUGUCGGGUAAGUUCCGACCCGCACGAAAGGCGUAACGAUCUGGGCACUGUCUCAACAAGAGACUCGGUGAAAUUAUAGUACCUGUGAAGAUGCAGGUUACCCGCGACAGGACGGAAAGACCCCAUGGAGCUUUACUAUAGCUUGAUAUUGGGUGUUGACACAACUUGUACAGGAUAGGUCGGAGCCGUAGAAACCGGAACGCUAGUUUCGGUGGAGGCGCUGGUGGGAUACGACCCUUGUUGUGUGAACACUCUAACCCGCGCCACUCAGCGUGGCGGGAGACAGUGUCAGGUGGGUAGUUUGACUGGGGCGGUCGCCUCCCAAAAAGUAACGGAGGCGCCCAAAGGUUCCCUCAGAAUGGUUGGAAAUCAUUCGCAGAGUGUAAAGGCAUAAGGGAGCUUGACUGCGAGACAGACAGGUCGAGCAGGGACGAAAGUCGGGCUUAGUGAUCCGGCGGUACCGUAUGGAAGGGCCGUCGCUCAACGGAUAAAAGCUACCCUGGGGAUAACAGGCUUAUCUCCCCCAAGAGUCCACAUCGACGGGGAGGUUUGGCACCUCGAUGUCGGCUCAUCGCAUCCUGGGGCUGUAGUCGGUCCCAAGGGUUGGGCUGUUCGCCCAUUAAAGCGGUACGCGAGCUGGGUUCAGAACGUCGUGAGACAGUUCGGUCCCUAUCCGUCGCGGGCGUAGGAAAUUUGAGAGGAGCUGUUCCUAGUACGAGAGGACCGGAAUGGACACACCGCUGGUGUAUCAGUUGUGCCGCCAGGCGCAUUGCUGAGUAGCUAUGUGUGGAUGAGAUAAACGCUGAAAGCAUCUAAGUGUGAAACUCGCCUCAAGAUGAGAUUUCCCAUUCCUAUAUGGAAGUAAGACC